AUGUCUACCACUCCCGAAGAAGUAAAAGAAGAUGAUGUUGAUGAAGAUGAAGAACCUGAGAUUCAUUUGCCUAUUGUCAUACCAGAGCGUGAUGUGUCAGGUUUAUCUAAUCCUCUUAAUGACAUGUCUUCAUAUGAUUUAUUUGCUUCUACCUUGCAUUACAUGAUGCCAUCACUUAAGAUUGAUUUGAAAAAUCAUUUACUUGGAUAUAAUGAUACAUACACUAUUGGUGGCAUUGCUCUCAUUUGUGAUGAUCACAAUUACUUUCCUCAUGCUAGUCUUGAGCUUAAUGAUAAAUGUCAUCCUCGUGUGAGUAUUGACCAUGCUGAUUUCUGCCAUCCUAAACAUGUGCUUUAUAGUUAUGCUUAUAUAAUUGGAUAUUCCAUUGAUGACUUGGAGGGCAUCGACCGUAUCACUUGUAGUUGUUUGUGUGAGUCCUAUUUAAGGCUUUUGCUACUGCACUGUUUACUACAUGCUGACCAGGUUCGAGGUGACAUUCCUUGGGAUCCUGGUGGAGUUAGAGCAUGGCGAUGA
rnacentral:rRNA from 1 species